rnacentral:rRNA from 1 species
AUUGAACGCUGGCGGCAUGCCUUACACAUGCAAGUCGAACGGUAACAGGUUAAGCUGACGAGUGGCGAACGGGUGAGUAAUGUAUCGGAACGUGCCCAGUCGUGGGGGAUAACUGCUCGAAAGAGCAGCUAAUACCGCAUACGACCUGAGGGUGAAAGCGGGGGAUCGCAAGACCUCGCGCGAUUGGAGCGGCCGAUAUCAGAUUAGGUAGUUGGUGAGGUAAAGGCUCACCAAGCCGACGAUCUGUAGCUGGUCUGAGAGGACGACCAGCCACACUGGGACUGAGACACGGCCCAGACUCCUACGGGAGGCAGCAGUGGGGAAUUUUGGACAAUGGGCGCAAGCCUGAUCCAGCCAUGCCGCGUGCGGGAAGAAGGCCUUCGGGUUGUAAACCGCUUUUGUCAGGGAAGAAAAGGUUCUGGCUAAUACCUGGGACUCAUGACGGUACCUGAAGAAUAAGCAUCGGCUAACUCCGUGCCAGCAGCCGCCGUAACAC